rnacentral:rRNA from 1 species
UGCCAGACUCCUACGGGAGGCAGCAGUGAGGAAUAUUGGUCAAUGGGCGAGAGCCUGAACCAGCCAAGUCGCGUGAAGGAUGACGGCCCUACGGGUUGUAAACUUCUUUUGUCAGGGAGCAAUUGGGUCCACGCGUGGGCUUAGCGAGAGUACCUGAAGAAAAAGCAUCGGCUAACUCCGUGCCAGCAGCCGCGGUAAUACGGAGGAUGCGAGCGUUAUCCGGAUUUACUGGGUGUAAAGGGAGCGUAGACGGUGCGCCAAGUCUGGAGUGAAAUGCCGCAGCUUAACUGCGGAACUGCUUUGGAAACUGGCGAACUAGAGUGCGGGAGGGGUAAGCGGAAUUCCUAGUGUAGCGGUGAAAUGCGUAGAUAUUAGGAGGAACACCGGUGGCGAAGGCGGCUUACUGGACCGUAACUGACGUUGAGGCUCGAAAGCGUGGGGAGCAAACAGGAUUAGAUACCCGUGUAUA